AGUAUGAUUUUUUUUUUAAUCUCACGUCUAAAUUUGCUCCUUUUCAGUUUCUAAUCGUUGCUCUUCUGUCUUCUGGAACCAAGAUGAGAAGACUGAGGCCAAAGAAGGUGAAGUGAUGGUCACACAGAGCUGGAAGGAUCUCGAGAUGGAAAAUGAAGCCAGGGAGUGGACCGAGGCAGGGAGUCCAGCAGGAAUUUUCCUCUGAUCCUCAGCAGGCGAUUAGUUAACAGAAAUCUUACAGGCUCUUCUGGGGUUAGUCAUCAAACCUUCUAUUUCCAACAGCUCAAAAAAAUAAAAUAAAAUAAACCACAACA
rnacentral:lncRNA from 1 species